AUGGGACAAUGUCAGGCGGGGAGUUUGACUGGGGCGGUCGCCUCCGAAAGGGUAUCGGAGGCGCUCAAAGGUUCCCUCAGAAUGGUUGGAAACCAUUUGAAGAGUGCAAAGGCAGAAGGGAGCUUGACUGCGACACCGACGGGUGGAGCAGGUACGAAAGUAGGACUUAGUGAUCCGGUGGUAUAAAGUGGGAUUGCCAUCGCUCAACGGAUAAAAGCUACCCUGGGGAUAACAGGCUUAUCACUCCCAAGAGUUCACAUCGACGGAGUGGUUUGGCACCUCGAUGUCGGCUCAUCGCAUCCUGGGGCUGUAGCAGGUCCCAAGGGUUGGGCUGUUCGCCCAUUAAAGCGGUACGCGAGCUGGGUUCAGAACGUCGUGAGACAGUUCGGUCCCUAUCCGGCGCGGGCGGAGGAUAUUUGAGAGGAGCUGUCCUUAGUACGAGAGGACCGGGAUGGACGGACCACUGGUGUAUCUGUUGUCGACCAACGGCAUGGCAGAGUAGCCAAGUCUGGAAGGGAUAAACGCUGAAGGCAUCUAAGCGUGAAGCCCCCCUCAAGAUGAGAUAUCCCUCCUUCGGGAGUAAGACCCCUUGAA
rnacentral:rRNA from 1 species